CUACAUGAAGCUGGAAUCGCUAGUAAUCGCGAAUCAGAAUGUCGCGGUGAAUACGUUCCCGGGUCUUGUACACACCGCCCGUCACACCAUGGGAGUCGGAAAUGCCCGAAGUCAGUGACCCAACCGUAAGGAGGGAGCUGCCGAAGGUGGAGCCGGUAACUGGGGUGAAGUCGUAACAAGGUAGC
rnacentral:rRNA from 1 species